rnacentral:lncRNA from 1 species
GCUGCUCCCUUCUAUCUUCACGAUCCGGCUGUAGUUGUUGAGAGGCGAAGAGAGGGAGUCUUCACCUCGACCCUAGAUUGGAGAUAGAAUGUUGGUGAUAGGGACCCUGUCAAGGCAGGUGAGCCCGACGUGCUGAGAGAUUGGGAUGGUGGAUAGGGAAAAUUCUGCUUUAUGCUCGUUGCUGCAUAGGAAACCCGAGCCUACUCCUUAUCUACCUUUUGCCCCUUAGCAUUAGGCCACAUAAAGCAUGCAUAUGGAUGCUGACGUGGACCUAUCCUAUUCCUUAGGGAUAGUUCAUGAGUGUGCAGGUAUGGACUUGGAGAGACAGUCAGAUCUCAAAGAAUUCACGAGGGAAGGGUCGCGUUGCUUUGCUCAAGGAUGCCUGUGGGAAGGUGGUGAAGAUCGGAGAUGAAGACUUGAAGCCCUAGUUUCCGCUGCGUAUCAGUUUUGUUUAUCAUUUAGCCUAAGGGGCAUGUACCUUUAUCGUAUUCCGAGAUGUUUCGGAUGUAAUUCUCAACUGUUUUACUCUGAUUUCGUUGUAUGGAUGUGAUAUUGUGAUAAAUUGAGUUUUGUAUGUGAUAGCUACUGAUCCAGGGACUAUCACAAGGGCACAGGGAUUCGGGUUUUCAGAUUACAAAAAUCCGAGGUAUUAGAACCAUACGUGACUGUAGCACGCAACCCUAGAAUGGUCGAUAGAAAUAAGGACUUCUAAACGCUCUGUUUGCUAUAUACCUCCUUGAGCUAUAUUGUUCAUACCUACUUUUCCUUGAAAUUUUUCAUCU